UGAUGCUGCCAAGGGUGACUGACGGUUGAGAGCCGAGACUGGAUUUUCUAAGACAGCAGAUGUGUCUCCACCCUCAACCCCUUCCCCAGCCUGUAAACCUAUCUCUUGACUGCCAGGGUGUCUGCGGCUUGCUCACCACACAGGGUCAGCAUCUCAAGCUGGUGUCCUCCUGCUGGGCCCCCUCUUCUCUGACCACACGUAUAGAGAAAGCUGGCCACUGAGUGGAGGCCCUUGCUUAAGGGUUACUUGUCUCUAUGGGAAGCAAAAUUAAGGAUUUUUCAAUAUUUUGCAUUUGGGGAGGAUACCUUAUCUCAUCUUAAAAUAGGCCAUAUUCUGCUGAUGGAGAAAUGGGAUUUCAUCCAGGGAAAGUGACUUGCCAAGGUUACACCACUCGUAAGUGGAGACCUAUGACUUGAACCUGUCUCUAACUCCCGAGACUGUACUGUCUCUGUGAGAACAUGACACCAUACAAAGAAUUUUAAAACUGUAAGAUGGUGACGGAUACCAUUCUCUUCUGAUCUGUCCUCAGGCCAGGUCCUGAAGUUCAGGCUGAAACAUGACCUUUCUCCCUCCCUCCUCUGCCACACUUCCCUAGGAGGGUCAUAGCGCAAGAGGUAGGGUCUGGGACGGGGGACUCCUGGGUCAGCCUGGCCCCCAUCCCCCACCUGGACCCUUUCCAUCCUCAUUUCUAGGCCACACUGCUCAAUGCCCUUGAGUGAAACCAAAGGUGGUUUCACUGUUGUGUGGCCCUUCUCCUCCACUAUCAGUUGCACAAAGUGGGAAGAAGUGGGAAGAAGACCAAGAAGGUCUGUACAGUAACUGGCGACCCCAGGGCCCAGUUUGGACCCUUAGGAGGACAGCCAUGCCUCAACUUUCUCUUACAUGUUUAGAAUUCACCUUGCAGAGAAAAUGGGUGGACUCUUGGGGAGAGGAGAGCCUGAGUGUCAGAGAAAUUUGGGCGCCAGUCUGUUGUAAGAUGGAAUCUAUUGAUAACGCCACCACCAGUCUUGCUUGACCUCACAAGAGUUGUGGAAAGAUUCAGAACAGAUAAUGGCCACACAAGUGCUCUGGGAAGUGUGAAGUGCCUAAGGUGGUAUUAUUCAUGGAAGCCACAGCCGGCAACAGGAAUACAAAGACGAAUGCCAUCUUGGAAUCGCUCAGGCUAGCAGGGGAAAUACAAAUGGCUAUACAAACAGUUAAAAUAUAAAACGCCAUGCAAAUGCUCUACCAAUAUGUCCACAUGGUGUCGACUCAUACUGAUUCUGUAACAACAAAGAAUAUAUACAGUUCGAUCUGGGUAACCUCUAUUACUAUUGCAAGAAUGCCUUUUCUUCACAGUAGCUCUAGCCCAUCUGUCUCCCCUCUCCAGUUAGCCUCCUUCUUACCACUUGAGUGAUCUAUGGCAGGAAUUUUUUUUUUCCUUCAGGGUGUAUUUGUAUUAGUUCCCUAUUGCUGCUGUGAUAGAUAACCACACACGUAGUGGCUUACAACACACGUUUAUCUUACAGUUCUGGAUGUACGAAGUCCAAAAUGUGUCUAAAAUCAAGG